GACGAACGCUGGCGGCGUGCCUAACACAUGCAAGUCGAGCGGAGUCGAUCGACGGAAGCCUUCGGGCGGAAGAUGGUUGACUUAGCGGCGGAUGGGUGAGUAACGCGUGGGCAACCUGCCUCGAAGACCGGGAUAACAGCCCGAAAGGGCUGCUAAUACCGGAUGUGGUCAAGGAUCCGCAUGGAUUUUUGAUUAAAGGGGAAACCCGUUUCGAGAUGGGCCCGCGUCCUAUCAGCUAGUUGGUGAGGUAAAAGCUCACCAAGGCGACGACGGGUAGCCGGCCUGAGAGGGUGACCGGCCACACUGGAACUGAGACACGGUCCAGACUCCUACGGGGGCAGCAGUGGGGAAUCUUCCACAAUGGGCGAAAGCCUGAUGGAGCGACGCCGCGUGAGCGAAGAAGGCCUCGGUUGUAAGCCUGUCUGGAGGGACGAAGGAAGUGACGGUACCUCCGGAGGAAGCCACGGCGUAACUACGUG
rnacentral:rRNA from 1 species